GAUGAAGAACGUAGCGAAAUGCGAUAAGUAGUGUGAAUUGCAGAAUUCAGUGAAUCAUCGAAUCUUAGAACGCACAUUGCGCCCCUUGGUAUUCCAUGGGGCAUGCCUGUUCGAGCGUCAUUUGUACCUUCAAGCUUUGCUUGGUGUUGGGUGUUUGUCCUGAGGGACUCGCCUUAAAGUAAUUGGCAGCCAGUGUUUGGUUUUGAAGCGCAGCACAAGUCGCGAUUCAAGGCUAUACACCAGCUUCCACAAGCCUUUUUCACUUUUGACCUCGGAUCAGGUAGGGAUACCCGCUGAACUUAAGCAUAUCAAUAAGCGGAGGA
rnacentral:misc_RNA from 1 species